rnacentral:rRNA from 1 species
UACGUGGGUGGCAAGCGUUGUCCGGAUUUAUUGGGUUUAAAGGGUGCGUAGGUGGCCCUGUAAGUCAGUGGUGAAAUAUCUCAGCUUAACUGAGAGGGUGCCAUUGAUACUGCAGGGCUUGAGUACAGAUGAGGUAGGCGGAAUUGACGGUGUAGCGGUGAAAUGCAUAGAUAUCGUCAAGAACACCGAUAGCGAAGGCAGCUUACCAAGCUGUAACUGACACUGAGGCACGAAAGUGUGGGGAUCAAACAGG